AAAAGGAAGACCAAAAGAAGAAAGAAUCAAAGAUUUACAAGAGAGUUUCUUCUUUCAAUGUUCUUGUUCUCUCUGCUCUCCUCUCUCUCCUUGUUCUCUCUCUUCUCGCUCUCUUGGUUCUGUUUCUUGUUCUUCUUCUUUUCCAAAAUAUGGGGAAGAUGUAUUGGAGUUGUCUGAGAAGAUGAUGAAAGCAAUUGUUUGUCCUCAGUGUUCUGGAUAUGGGAUUGUCAUCAACCAAGGGAAAGAGAAAGAGAAGAA
rnacentral:ribozyme from 13 species